rnacentral:rRNA from 1 species
UGCUGAAGCAACAAAUGCCCUGCUUCCAGGAAAAGCCUCUAAGCAUCAGGUAACAUCAAAUCGUACCCCAAACCGACACAGGUGGUCAGGUAGAGAAUACCAAGGCGCUUGAGAGAACUCGGGUGAAGGAACUAGGCAAAAUGGUGCCGUAACUUCGGGAGAAGGCACGCUGAUAUGUAGGUGAAGUCCCUCGCGGAUGGAGCUGAAAUCAGUCGAAGAUACCAGCUGGCUGCAACUGUUUAUUAAAAACACAGCACUGUGCAAACACGAAAGUGGACGUAUACGGUGUGACGCCUGCCCGGUGCCGGAAGGUUAAUUGAUGGGGUUAGCCGCAAGGCGAAGCUCUUGAUCGAAGCCCCGGUAAACGGCGGC